AAACAAAGCUGAAAAAACACGUUGCCUUACUCUUAGCAUUAGGGUUUUCUUUCUCUCCUUUCAUUCUCCAGUUGCGGCGCCACCUCUUCAAGUCUUCAUUCCUCCUUGUCCUAGACCUUGCGAUUGUUUGUUCUCUUAACUUGCUUCUUACUCUGUUUUGACUUCCUAUAAAGCCACCAGCAAAAAUGAUACUUCUCCAUAUUUUCUGUUUUGGCUUUCUAGAUAGUGGUUGUGAUAGUGUUGUUAGAUGACACUGUUCGAAGCAAGUCCUUCCCUAUUGAUUUUGGUUGGUUAUCUUUUUAGGUUUUGAUUUUGGUUUUUGCGGUUCUGCAGUGGCGAAUUAGAAUCAAAUUCACAUCUCAGACUUCAGAGAUUUUCAAAUCAAUGAGAAUGACAAUUCUGUUGCUGAGCAGAAUUUGCUAUUUCGUUAUUAUUUUUUAUUAUUGAAUUAUUGAAUUCUGUUUUUUCUUUUUUUUUUUUUUUUAAAUUUAGUAGUUAAGUUGUAUUGACGAGAGAUUUCUGAGAAGGAGUCUCAUGCUUUGUGGAGAGCAAACUCAUUACGGUGUUUGCAUAUUUCUCAAGUAACCGUCAUAAAUCAAUGCUCCCGGCGUCGACGGCACCGCCCUCACAGGUGGCACCUCCGCCGGAGCAGUCUCAUAUUCCAUUGCCUUGUGAAGCGGUGUCGCCGCCUUUACCAUUUGGGACUGGCCAUGAGACGAACAUUACAAUCCGUUUUUUCAAUUUAUCUUUUUUAGAACAUAGGGUAGUACUUGCUCUGAAAUUUGAAAUAAUAUUUUACUUAUUUUGUUUAGGGAGGUUCAUUGUGUAUAUCAAAUUUAAACUCAAUAAAUUGUUAGGGUUUUUAUGCUGGCGGGAAUGGAACAGUAGAACUUAUGUUCUUUGUUCUUUUUAAUUGCUUUCUGCAGACAAUUAAUUCAAAGACAUUUUGAUAAACAACUGUUCCAAUAUCGACUCUUGUGGAUGAGUAGAUUGCUUGUAAAUAAAAGGAGCUGCAAGAAAGUGUGGCAGGGGAGUUCAAUUUGGAGAAAUGGAACGCCACAACUGCUUGUACAUGGAGCUGCAUAUCUUCUGUAUGAUAGGUUGCACACUUGAUAUGAUUAUCACAUUGCUGAUGUUUGUUCAAUUUGUGGAAGCAUGCUUACAACAACAUUCAUCAAACCUUAAAAUUGGCCAGUUCGUAAGAUUGGUGGGCCUCCCCCUGGAAGAGUUCCAGAAAAGGGCAUUAGUCAUACAAAAUUAGGGUUUAUGAUUCCUUAGUCUCUGUUUCACUUUCGAAUUUUGCUUUCACAUUAUGCUUCGCUAUCUGGUCGAUGUGGAUUAACUUGAUUCCCAUUUGAUUCGUUCCCUUGAAGCAAUAGCGAUUUGUGUUGGUCUUUUUUUAUCUCUUCCACAAUCCCUUUGGUUUUGGGAGAACACAGGAGCAACUAAAUCUAAUUUUCUCUUUAAGAUGUCAUUUGUUUGUUGUGGGUUUGCAUUUUCUGGUUGAUUGAGUUACGAUUAUUUUCAACUGUGAUGAGCCAAUAGACCUGUAAUGAUUUGCGGCUAUGAUCGCAAUCAUUAAUGAACAUCUAAGGGACUGAGUUAUCCAGUGUUUUUUUUCUUUUCCAGUUUUCUAUUUUUUCUUUUACAUUUUGGUUUUGAAAGUUUGGUUUUUGUUUAAUUUUUACAAUAUGUUCUUUUGAAUUGGGGUUAGUGUUUGAAAGGCUUCAGCUUUCUUUGAGAUUUUAGCUUGCACUUUUUCCACUGUGUUUGGUGAUGCUUAAUUGAAGCCCCGAUAUGUGUUCCUCCUCGCUAUCCGUUGUUGCAAUUUUGAUGCAGCAUUUGGAUGUCGGGGAACUUAAUCACUCUUUUUUGUUUGUCAGAAAUUUGGUUUUUCAUUUUGAGGUAUUUACUAUGAAAUAUUGAUGUUAUUGCUUUCAUUCCAUUGGGUUGAGUCAUUUAUUUGGGGUUAGAUCAUGUUUUCUUACUACUUAUAAUAGUUUAUUUAUGAUGUUGUUUUGAGAUUUUGGUGGGUUAUGAUGAAGCUGAAUAUAUAAUCCAACACUUGAUCUGAGUUAUUAUGAGUGAUGGUAAACAAUUUCUAUGCUUCUGAAUCUACACCUGUUUUUGAGUAACUAUUUUCACUAUUAUUUUUCAAUUGGGCCUGUUAGGUAGGUUUUCAUGUUCUGGAAAUAUAACCAUUUUUUGUAUGGGUUAGGUUAUCUCAUUUAGUUUUACUGCCACAUUUUUGUAUCUUCCAUUAGGGAAAGUGCUUGAAGCAUUUGUGCUUACACACAAGCAUUAGCUUUUGUUAAUUGACCCAUUGACAUAGAUUGAUUAGUGGAUUGACGUAUGUUGAUUUAAUAUGAUUAGUGGAUCGACGUAUUAUUAUUUGCUUAGAAGCUCCCUUUAUUCCCGUUGCUAACAUCAUGUGAUGAAUUUGGAAAAAUCUUAGGACACCUUCCUACACAGCAAACAUUGCUGUGGAUGAGAAUAAAUUUUCCAUGCUGAUGAUGUGCUUUGUUUCUGUUCCACUCUUAGUAGGCCCAACAAAAUUGGUGAUAUUAUGUUUUGGGUUUUGCUUUUUUCUGGUUGAUUGAGUUAGUGGGGUUACGCUAUUUUCAACUUUGAUGAGCCUCCAGACCUGUAAUGAUUUGCGGGUAUGAUCACGAUCAUUAAUGAACAUCUAAGGGACUGAGUUAUCCAGUUUAUUUCCUGUUUUUUUUUUUAAUUUUUUCUUUAGAUUUGGGUUUUGAAACUUUGGUUCUUGUUUAAAUUUUAAUAUUUUUUGUGAUUGGGGCUAAUGGUUGAAAGGCUUCAGCUUUCUUUGAGAUUUUUGCUUGCACUUUUUAACAAUCCAUUGGUGCAAUUUUCAUGCAGCAUUUGGACGUUGGGGAACUAAAUUGCUUAUGUCAGAAUUGUUUUUUUAUUAUUUAUUUUUGAGUUAAUUUUUACCACGAAAUGUUGAUGUUAUUGAUAUGUUGCCAUCGGGUUGAGUUAUUUAUUUGAGGUUUAUAAGAUCGUGUUUUCUUACUGCUUAUAAUAGUUUGAGAUCUAUGUUGGUUUGAGAUUUUGGUGGGUUGGGAUGAAGCUGAAUAUAUAAUCCAACACUUUAUGAGUUAUUAUGAGUUAUGGUAAAUGAUUUCUUUGCUUCUGAAAUUACUUAUCUUUUUUUGAAUAUAUAAUCCAACACUUAUCUGAGUUACAAUGUUUGUUUUUUUCUUAUUAUUUUUUUAUCAACUUGGCCCGUUCGAUAGGUUUUCAUGUUUUGCUAUAACCUCUUACUACAGGAUCCUUACCUAGCCAACAUUUAGAUUCGGUUCUACCUAAAAUUUUUUGGUUGACUCCAAUGUGUCCCACUUGUCUCACCAUUGCCGAUCAGUUUUUGGAUAUGAAAUGCAGUAUUUCACGUAUUGGAGAAACAUAACACCAUUGCCGAUCAGUUUUUGGAUAUCAAAUGCAGUGUUUCACGUAUUGGAGAAACAUAACACCACGAUUUGGAAACUCCCUCCACAUUCAGUCUCAACAUUUUGCCUUGCCUCCACUCUCUUCCGCCCAUUACUACCGCCCUCUCUAAACCCUACUCCAGUUUGAGUGGUAGCUUUUCUGGUGGCAUUCCAAUGGCGCUCUGAUUACUGUUCCGGCCACCUGCAACUGUUCCACUUCCAGCAACCUUCAUUAUUCCUUCAACAUCCCUUUCCUUCUUUUUAUUUCAACCCGCACUGAGAAUGUCUUCACCCACUGAUCCAUCAACCCUCUCAGCUCGUUCAGCCACCACCAACAUAGGGGAUCUAAGUAGUCGUCAUCAUUCUGCUACUGCUAUACUGCCAUAGCAUUUUUGGAGAUCCACUAUUAACUACUAUGAUUGACAUAUGUUGAUUAAUGAUUAGUGUAACAUGAUUAUUUGCUUAGAAGUUUUUAUUCUCAUUGCUACGUCAUGUGAUGAAUUUGGAAAAAUCUUAGGACACCUUCCUACACAGCAAACAAUGCUGUGGAUGAGAAUAAAUUUUCCAUGCUGAUGAUGUGCUUAUUUUCUGUUGUACACUUGGUAGGCCCAACAAUACUCAAAUGGAGGGAAUAUUUGUUUUUUAAGAUUGGCGAUACUUUGUUGUGGUUUUGCAUUUUCUGGUAGAUAGGGCUGCGCUAUUUUCAACUGUGAUGAGCCUUCAGACCUGUAAUGAUUUUCGGGAUUCCAAUGUUUUGAUGUAUAUGCAAUGACAUGAUCUUGACCAUGUACUCUUUGUUUGAGGAUGCCACCAUAACCUAUGUCUGAUGCAUCGAUUUCGACAAUUUUAAAUGCCUGAGGAAUCGGAAGAUACAGACAUUUUAUAGAGUGGACUUUGAGUUUGAUUUCUUUAACUGUUUGUGUAUGGAGAUCAGACCAAGGAGGCAGAUUUUUCUUCGGCCUAUCAUGCAAUGGUUUGACAAUAUUGUUUAAAUAGGGGACAAAUUCUCCUACAUAAGUUAGACAACCUAGAAAUCUUUGUAAAUGGGUCUUGUCUAAGAUUUGGCUGGGAUAUUUGUUAGCAAACUCUAUUGACCUUUCUAAUGGAAUGUUUGUACCUUGAUAUAUAUUGUGACCAAGUAAUCGAAUUCGAGUUUGAAAAAGAUUGAUUUUUGAUUUG